GCUCAGGAUGAACGCUAGCGGCAGGCUUAACACAUGCAAGUCGAGGGGUAUAGUUCUUCGGAACUAGAGACCGGCGCACGGGUGCGUAACGCGUAUGCAAUCUACCUUUCACAGAGGGAUAGCCCAGAGAAAUUUGGAUUAAUACCUCAUAGUAUUAUGAAAUGGCAUCAUUUUAUAAUUAAAGUCACAACGGUGAAAGAUGAGCAUGCGUCCCAUUAGCUAGUUGGUAAGGUAACGGCUUACCAAGGCGACGAUGGGUAGGGGUCCUGAGAGGGAGAUCCCCCACACUGGUACUGAGACACGGACCAGACUCCUACGGGAGGCAGCAGUGAGGAAUAUUGGACAAUGGGCGCAAGCCUGAUCCAGCCAUGCCGCGUGCAGGAUGACGGUCCUAUGGAUUGUAAACUGCUUUUGUACAGGAAGAAACACUGGUUCGUGAACCAGCU
rnacentral:rRNA from 1 species